AUGUUGAAAAUGAGAACAACAGAGAAGCCAUUAAACAUCAGGCUAUUUCUGAGGUCGCUUUGGACAUGGGUCAGCAAUGAGAGGCGUUGCAACCCAACCCCCUCUUUAAAGCCAGUGUUAAAGGAUCCGAAGAUGGGAAUGAAAACCUCCCUGUUUCCUCAUCGUUUAGGCCUGAUAGAAUUAUUUCAACAAAAUGUUAAGGUAAAUAUCUCUGUUAGUGAUUUAAUAAUUAUGUAUGUUUAGAGUCAUAUUUAUUGUUCUGUACACUAUGACACUAAUAGUGUUAUGAAAUUAAAGUGUGCCCUUGGCGCAAGGUCAGAUAUAUAGUAUGUGUUCACUUACUAAAAAUACCAAUUGACAAAAGGCAUUUCCACUCCAUUGUAAAAUCAGGAAUACACUAUUCCCAAUAUAAACGUCAUGAAAGAAAAGUGAAUUCCACAUAUUUCUUUAAACAUCAUUUUACUUUUAAAAAUGUGUUUUGAUAAUAGUAAUGUAGUGUUUUUAAAAAAAAGAAGAAAAAAAAGUGAGGCGCAACCAGGAUGAGCAUUAAGACAACCACAAACCCCAUCAAUCAUACCUGUGAUUCAGCAUUUUUGUAAAAGGCCAAUCGUCCUUUUUCUCUAUGGCCUGCCUUGUUUGCUGAAAUGUGAGAAGCAAUCAAUUUAAAUAGAUAUUUAAAAAAAAAGACAGCAUGCAACUGAAUGUUCUGAAGACAAAGCUUUACUCAAAAACUAAUGACACUUAGGGAGCACUAAAAAGAAAUAAAGAAUUCAACCAGUUUACAUAAAAUGCCUGUUUAAUUAACAAUAAAACAUUUAUUCAGCAGCUAAAUAAGCAAAGACAAUAAAGAUAAACUUACUUAUUGAUUAAUGCUUGGCCCUAAACAAGGCAGGGGCUUAAAAGCAGUUGGUAAUUUUCAUGUUUUUUUCUCCCUUUCUCUUUUUACAGUCUAGUUAGGAAUAAUAUAAUCAAAUGCAAAAUGUUUAUUCAGUAGCAUUUUACUAAAGAAUAAAAUGCUGUUAUAUGGGUGUGCCAUGACCUUAGUUUGCUGGGACAAAGAUUGGUUUCCAGGAAGAAGAAAAAAGUAAAAAAAAAUAAAAAAAAUGUCAAAGGGAUAUCAUCCAACAUUUAAUCUUACUCUACAUACCUGCUUGGAGCCUGGUAUCAACGCGGAGAACAAUAGGUGUACUGGUAAGUUGUAACAGUAGAUCAAAUAGCAAUGCAUAUAUAGAAAUCCCCAA
rnacentral:lncRNA from 1 species